rnacentral:lncRNA from 1 species
AAUUUCCCCGCUUUUAACCCCAAAUCCCUCGGGAAACGGCACCGGGAGAGACAAAAACUGGAAUUCAUUUUCAUCGUCGUCGGAAAUUUGGGGCAAAAAGUUUGGGAAAAGGGUCAGAGCCGGAGCUUUGUGUUUUCCAGAGCCCGUAAUUAAUUGGUUUUGCGUUAAUUAAUCUCUAACGAGGGUGAGGGGUGAUGCCAGGACGGGGAGGAUCCCGCGCCCGGAUUCCCAAAUUCCCUUUUCCCGGGGUGAAAUUCCUGCGUGUGCCAAAACACUGGGGGGAUUCGCCAAAAUUCCAGAUGUUUUCACCCCAAUUCCAGGAAUUUUCUCCUCAAUUCCAGGAGUUUCUCCCCAAUUCCAGGAGUUUCUCCCCAAUUCCAGAUGUUUUCUCCCCAGUUCCAGAUGUUUUCUCCCCAAUUCCAGAUGUUUUCUCCCCAGUUCCAGGAGUUUCUCCCCAGUUCCAGAUGUUUUCUCCCCAGUUCCAGGAGUUUCACCCCAGUUCCAGAUGUUUUCUCCCCAAAUCCAGAUGUUUUCUCCCCAGUUCCAGGAGUUUCACCCCAAUUCCAGAAGUUUCUCCCCAGUUCCAGAUGUUUUCUCCCCAAUUCCAGAUGUUUUCUCCCCAGUUCCAGGAGUUUCUCCCCAGUUCCCGCUCCUGCCUCAGAUCCUCACCACCUGGGCGGCCACGCAGGGGCUGCUCCGGGGCUCAGCCCCGGGAACGGCCCCGGAAUUAUCCCCGGGAUUAUCCCCGGGAUUAUCCCUGGGAUUGCCCCCAGGGCUGUUCCCAGGCUCAUUCCCGGGAUUCUCCCCGGGAUUCUCCCCGGGAUUCUCCCGGUGCCGCUCUCUCCGCAGCAGCAGCCGCCCGUAGGUGCCCCCGGCCCGGCCCUUGGUCAGACGCCCGGGAUUGAUGCAGACACAGCCCAGGACGUCCUGCGGGGAACGGGAAUCAGGGAAUGGGAAUGGGAAUGGGGAAUCAGGGAAUGGGAAUGGGAAUGGGGAAUCAGGGAAUGGGAAUCAGGGAAUGGGAAUCAGGGAAUGGGGAAUCAGGGGAUGGGAAUCAGGGAAUGGGGAAUCAGGGAAUGGGAACGGGAAUGGGAACGGGAACGGGAAUGGGAAUCAGG